rnacentral:tRNA from 1 species
GGGAGUUUAGCUCAGUUGGUUCAGAGCGUCUGCCUUACAAGCAGAGGGUCAUAGGUUCGAAUCCUUUAACUCCCA